GAUGACGCUGAUGACGAAAGCGUGGGUAGCAAACAGGAUUAGAUACCCUGGCAGUCCACGCCGUAAACGAUGGAUACUAGCUGUUGGGAGCAAUCUCAGUGGCUAAGCGAAAGUGAUAAGUAUCCCACCUGGGGAGUACGCUCGCAAGAAUGAAACUCAAAGGAAUUGACGGGGGCCCGCACAAGCGGUGGAGCAUGUGGUUUAAUUCGAUGAUACGCGAGGAACCUUACCAAGGCUUAAAUGUAGAUUGACCGGUUUGGAAACAGACUUUUCGCAAGACAAUUUACAAGGUGCUGCAUGGUUGUCGUCAGCUCGUGCCGUGAGGUGUCAGGUUAAGUCCUAUAACGAGCGCAACCCCUGUUGUUAGUUGCCAGCGAGUCAUGUCGGGAACUCUAACGAGACUGCCAGUGCAAACUGUGAGGAAGGUGGGGAUGACGUCAAAUCAUCACGGCCCUUACGCCUUGGGCUACACACGUGCUACAAUGGCCGGUACAGAGAGCAGCCACUGGGCGACCAGGAGCGAAUCUACAAAACCGGUCACAGUUCGGAUCGGAGCCUGCAACUCGACUCCGUGAGGCUGGAAUCGCUAGUAAUCGGAUAUCAGCCAUGAUCCGGUGAAUACGUUCCCGGGCCUUGUACACACCGCCC
rnacentral:rRNA from 1 species